rnacentral:lncRNA from 1 species
CCCGGUUCGUGAUUGUGGGAUCAGGACCAGGACCAGGACCAGGAGAGCGAAUUCCCUACUCGCAUGUGCGCUGCCGUAGUUGGGGAGAGGAAGAGGUAGACGUACGGAAUGCGCCCGCAGCAGCAGGAGGGGGAGGAGGGGAAAGGCAGAAGGUGAAUGCAUACACAUCUACAAUACGGACAUACAUACAUGCGGACACCUCAGCAAAGCAGCCCGGGUAACCACCCAGCCUCCGAAGCGGUUCAAGCUCCGAAACGACGGCAGGGUUGGAGCAUGCUGCAUCGUCAUCUGUGCACACGGCGCAGUGCUGCAGUUUACUGCAGCACCUUUUGUCGUUUGCAGCUCCUCUACAUCGUCAUCAUCAUCAUCAUCAUCAUCAUCACCCGCCAUGUGAUCAGCUGCCAACCUUAUGAUUACGUUGCGGUAGUGGAUAUGUCCCCCGCUUCUGUGCUGCUGUGACAGUGGUAGCGGUAGCGGGCUAGCUAGGUAGGUUGGCUUUCAAGGGCGCUUUGCAGGGCGCUUUUGGAAAGCUUAGUCCUUUGCUGGUUGUGAGAAGCUAUUGAGGAUUAUUAUUUAAGGGAAAGUCGCUGAGUUGGGGUGAGCAAGGCGGAGGGAGGUAGGAAGGAGGGGAAAAGUGGCUGGAUUUCAGCUGUGUCCGCUUACCCUUAGUUAUUGGUGCAACCUGUGGUAAGUACCUGAGGUUUUGCAGCCUGUUGGAUUUGUGUCCAAAGCGCCAUGUAAUGUAAGCUAGGUUUUUAAACGAAGUUGGAUCAGUAAGCUCGGGUAUGCUGUAUCUUGAGCCUAAUGUUCAACACGGUUCCCCGUUCCAUACGCCUGUCCGUCCUGUCCCAGCCAUCAUCACCUGCCAUCCGAGCAGUGCACGCCCGGGAGUUCUAUUGUUGUGGUCCUUCCCGUCCUCCGUGUUGCUCACCCGUCCGCAUAUGGUCUGCGAUUCGGUUCUGAUUACCCUUCCUUAGGGUCCCCAUUGAACCCGG